ACCUUCCAGGUUGCAGCUUGAGUCUGACAUUACGUUAGCUCAGGCUGAUGGCUGGUGACUUUUUGGUCACCAGCCU
rnacentral:sRNA from 1 species